UACAGAGGUCCCGAGCGUUGUUCGGAUUCACUGGGCGUAAAGGGUGCGUAGGUGGUGAGGUAAGUCGGAUGUGAAAUCUCCGGGCUCAACCCGGAAAUGGCAUUGGAAACUACCUUGCUUGAGGAUUUGAGGGGGGAUUGGAAUACUUGGUGUAGCAGUGAAAUGCGUAGAUAUCAAGUGGAACACCAGUGGCGAAGGCGAAUCCCUGGAAAAUACCUGACACUGAGGCACGAAAGCUAGGGGAGCAAACAGGG
rnacentral:rRNA from 1 species